rnacentral:rRNA from 1 species
UACGUAGGGUGCAAGCGUUGUCCGGAAUUAUUGGGCGUAAAGAGCUCGUAGGCGGCGUGUCACGUCGGUUGUGAAAGCCCGGGGCUUAACUCCGGGUCUGCAGUCGAUACGGGCAGGCUAGAGUUCGGUAGGGGAGAUCGGAAUUCCUGGUGUAGCGGUGAAAUGCGCAGAUAUCAGGAGGAACACCGGUGGCGAAGGCGGAUCUCUGGGCCGAUACUGACGCUGAGGAGCGAAAGCUAGGGGAGCGAACGGG